rnacentral:rRNA from 1 species
AUUGAACGCUGGCGGCAGGCCUAACACAUGCAAGUCGAGCGGAUGAAGGGAGCUUGCUCCUGGAUUCAGCGGCGGACGGGUGAGUAAUGCCUAGGAAUCUGCCUGGUAGUGGGGGUUACGUCCGGAAACGGGCGCUAAUUACCCCUUCCUCCUUGGGGGAGAAAUGGGGGGAUUUUCGACCCUACGCUUUCAAAUGAGCCUAGGUCGGGUUAGCUAGUUGGUUGGGUAAAGGCCUUCCAAGGCGACGAUCCGUAACUGGUCUGAGAGGAUGAUCAGUCACACUGGAACUGAGACACGGUCCAGACUCCUACGGGAGGCAGCAGUGGGGAAUAUUGGACAAUGGGCGAAAGCCUGAUCCAGCCAUGCCGCGUGUGUGAAGAAGGUCUUCGGAUUGUAAAGCACUUUAAGUUGGGAGGAAGGGCAGUAAGUUAAUACCUUGCUGUUUUGACGUUACCAACAGAAUAAGCACCGGCUAACUUCGUG